rnacentral:rRNA from 1 species
UGCGUAGGCGGGUUAAUAAGUCAGUGGUGAAAUCCCUCAGCUCAACUGAGGAACUGCCAUUGAUACUGUUAGUCUUGAGUAUAGUUGAGGUGGGCGGAAUGUGUCAUGUAGCGGUGAAAUGCAUAGAUAUGACACAGAACACCGAUUGCGUAGGCAGCUCACUAAACUAUCACUGACGCUGAUGCACGAAAGCGUGGGUAGCGAACAGGAUUAGAUACCCCUGGUAGUCC